AUGGAUGUGAUUAAUCUUGACACCACAUGUCACGCUAUGGAUAUCCUUGCACGCCGGCCUGUUUCUGUUGACGAUCCUUUUGUUAUGGUUAUCCAAGUUGGUCGAGCGACUUUUGCUCUUACUGAGACUCUCCAAGUUUACUCUAAGGCCCACCAUGUUUCUCCUCCUGGAUCCACCUCAUGGGUGCGCUGCCACACAGACCAGUCUAAUGUUCUUGACAGGAAGGUCAAGCUCUCGGGAUAUGUUGUACUGGGUGAUGAUUCCUUUAUAGUCUGUGAUACUAUCACAUGUUCUUGUCUUCGGUUUGACGUCGGUGCCAAGAAGUGGCAUGUUGUCAUGCCUUGGACUAUAUGGGGAGAAUACCUGCCAAGGGCUAUGCUUAGAAACCGCCUUUUAAACGGCGCAUGUGUAUUUGUGGAUGGUUUUAUCUACACAUGCUCAAAUCGUGGGCUUGCUGCUUAUGAACUACUCUCUGAAAAUCAUAUUGUGUACCUCAAAGACCCAAUCUUUUUGCCAUUCUCAUGGGAGAGUAAACAGUGGGAGAGCGAAAGAAUGUGUUUGGAUUAUGCUGGCAAAGAGGUCGACUCUGGUACCAUAUUGUUUUGGGUGGUGCAAGGCGUGCCAUUCAAUAUAGACCCCCCAAGAAUCAGCUAUGGAUCACCGCCGUCCAGGUUGAGACUGAGAAAACACCCAGUAAGAGCAUGA
rnacentral:rRNA from 1 species